rnacentral:rRNA from 1 species
CCUACGGGUGGCAGCAGUGGGGAAUAUUGCACAAUGGGCGCAAGCCUGAUGCAGCCAUGCCGCGUGUGUGAAGAAGGCCUUCGGGUUGUAAAGCACUUUCAGCGGGGAGGAAGGCGGUGAGGUUAAUAACCUCAUCGAUUGACGUUACCCGCAGAAGAAGCACCGGCUAACUCCGUGCCAGCAGCCGCGGUAAUACGGAGGGUGCAAGCGUCAAUCGGAAUUACUGGGCGUAAAGCGCACGCAGGCGGUCUGUCAAGUCGGAUGUGAAAUCCCCGGGCUCAACCUGGGAACUGCAUUCGAAACUGGCAGGCUAGAGUCUUGUAGAGGGGGGUAGAAUUCCAGGUGUAGCGGUGAAAUGCGUAGAGAUCUGGAGGAAUACCGGUGGCGAAGGCGGCCCCCUGGACAAAGACUGACGCUCAGGUGCGAAAGCGCGGGGAGCAAACAGGAUUAGAUACCCUGGUAGUC